CUUCGACCACGCGGGCCCAAGCCCUCACACGACACCAGAGGUGAACGACGUCAUCAGAGGCCAGCUCUUCUCCUCUUCCCUGUGUGCGGCCAAGCCUUCUUCUUCCCUGCGUGAGACACUUGAUUUUUCUCAAGUUAGGUCAGAACAAGAUGCUGCGCUUCUAGAAGAUGCUAGACAAGCUACCAAGUCAGGAGAAAAGAUGAACAGAGAACAGAGAAGCUUACCCUGUUUUGGACGAACUGGGUAGGAAUGUAAGCUCACGAAGUCGUUGCAUUCAGCCUCUCGAAGCCGUCGCAGCCCAACCUUGAUUUUUUCCCUUGCAUCUCCCGUUGCUAUCGUCGUCACCUCCCAAUAAACCCUUGGUCGGACCUCAUCUCUAUAUCGUCGUCAAAUAAUAUCAUUUGUUUCAGAUUGGGGCUUAGGGCUUCAUUUUUUUCUUAGCACACAUAAAGAAAAGAAGGAGGCUCGACGGGCUUCUCCAUUUCAAACCUAGCUAGGCAGCGUGGAGGUGCAGGUACAGUGGCAUAGUGAAUAAUUGGGUCAAUGGUUGACGUGGCUCUCAAGUUGUGGGAGUGAUUGCUGCUAAUUUAAGAAGUGGUUUUCAACUUUGAGGUAAAGUGUCUUCAGUCUGUAUUUUUUGUUUUACUGAUAUUACUAUACCUUUCUAAAUCUAAUUAAUAUUACAGAGAGAA